rnacentral:rRNA from 1 species
AGUGAACGCUGGCGGUAGGCCUAACACAUGCAAGUCGAACGGCAGCACAGAGGAGCUUGCUCCUUGGGUGGCGAGUGGCGGACGGGUGAGGAAUACAUCGGAAUCUACUCUGUCGUGGGGGAUAACGUAGGGAAACUUACGCUAAUACCGCAUACGACCUACAGGUGAAAGCAGGGGACCUUCGGGCCUUGCGCGAUUGAAUGAGCCGAUGUCGGAUUAGCUAGUUGGCGGGGUAAAGGCCCACCAAGGCGACGAUCCGUAGCUGGUCUGAGAGGAUGAUCAGCCACACUGGAACUGAGACACGGUCCAGACUCCUACGGGAGGCAGCAGUGGGGAAUAUUGGACAAUGGGCGCAAGCCUGAUCCAGCCAUACCGCGUGGGUGAAGAAGGCCUUCGGGUUGUAAAGCCCUUUUGUUGGGAAAGAAAUCCAACUGGCUAAUACCCGGUUGGGAUGACGGUACCCAAAGAAUAAGCACCGGCUAACUUCGUGCCAGCCGCCGCAGUAA